rnacentral:rRNA from 1 species
AACGAACGCUGGCGGCAUGCCCAACACAUGCAAGUCGAACGAGACCUUCGGGUCUAGUGGCGCACGGGUGCGUAACGCGUGGGAACCUGCCCUUAGGUUCGGAAUAACUCCCCGAAAGGGGUGCUAAUACCGGAUAAUGUCUUCGGACCAAAGAUUUAUCGCCUUUGGAUGGGCCCGCGUUGGAUUAGCUAGUUGGUAGGGUAAAAGCCUACCAAGGCGACGAUCCAUAGCUGGUCUGAGAGGAUGAUCAGCCACACUGGGACUGAGACACGGCCCAGACUCCUACGGGAAGCAGCAGUGGGGAAUAUUGGACAAUGGGCGAAAGCCUGAUCCAGCAAUGCCGCGUGAGUGAUGAAGGCCUUAGGGUUGUAAAGCUCUUUUACCCGGGAUGAUAAUGACAGUACCGGGAGAAUAAGCUCCGGCUAACUCCGCG